GACUCUUUGGUGCAAUAGGCAGCAUGUCAGUCUCGAAAGCUGAAGGUACCAACUCGUGUUAUACUGGGAGAAGCCACUAGAAGAGUCA
rnacentral:tRNA from 1 species